rnacentral:rRNA from 1 species
UAGGGAAUAUUGCACCAUGGGCGAAAGCCUGAUGCAGCAACGCCGCGUGAGUGAAGAAGGCCUUCGGGUUGUAAAACUCUUUUCAAAGGGAAGAGGAAGGACGGUACCUUUGGAAUAAGCAUCGGCUAACUACGUGCCAGCAGCCGCGGUAACACGUAGGAUGCAAGCGUUAUUCGGAUUUACUGGGCGUAAAGCGCGUGUAGGCGGGCGAGAAAGUUGGAUGUGAAAGCUCCCGGCUUAACUGGGAGAG